GAAGAGAAUGACCAGCGUAGUCAUGUAUGAGGACUGAAACAUGAGGCAACCAAAUGGAAAUCCACACGGCUUCACAGCUGCACUAAGGGGUAGAGGCUGCUGAGAGUAAUAUCGUCAGACUUAACUUCCUGCUGCUGUUCUGGUCUUUGAAGCCUGUACAUUCUCAAACUACCAGCUCGUGGACAACUGCGUGAAGCAUUUCUGGGUUGGAGUCGGUCAUUCAGAGGCAGAGAUACUUGCGCAUGGAUGGAAUGACAGACAAUCCGUAGUAGGAAUACAUCAGAACAUGGAUAAAACUAUUCAAGGUUUCUGCCCCUGGUUCUAUUUACUACCAUAGCAAUUUAGCUUUGGGAGAAGCAUUUUUCACUGCUGGGGCUAGUAGGCUGCUGUUGCCAUUGCGUCUCCAUCAUGCAUGCUCUAACCUGUAAAGGAGGAUUGAUUCCUCCAAAAUAAAGCUCCUUAAUGGGUGCAUGCUGGAGCAAGCCAGGGGAGGUGUUUGGUGAUGGAGUUGAGAUCUUAGUUCAUUAAACUGACAGAAACAGUUGAGAAUGGAGCCAUGACUACCUAGGAAGCUUCAUGGUAUAAAUUGCUAAAAGGAUCAGAAUGAAAACAGAUUACAGGACAUGAAUGGGUACUUGUCUCAUACAGCAACUGGAACAUCUGCAGCUCCCCUUCUCUCAGGAUGGUGAACUGAGUAAACUACUUGGAACUUAUCUAGAUACUAGCCAAUUGCCCAUCAAGAAUAAUGGUGGCCGGGGUAGGAGAAAGGUUGUCUGGGAUGGCGUGCCGCCACCUAACGCCCCAUACUGCUGCUGUUCUUGCUCUUGCAGGGAGCAGGGUGGGGGAGUCUCCCCCACCCCCUGUCCAAUACUCAGUACGGCUUCAGAAUCAUGGCAGCACUCCACCAUGCUUGGAGUACUUUGAUUGGCUGUUUCCAUCAGCCAAUCAGAGUGAGAAUAAAGCAUUACAGAUGGACAGACGUAGGUUUUUAUAAUAUUAGAUAUAGCUUGCUGUAAUGUAGAUGCACAUCAAACAGCUACUUAGCUGAUACUGUUUGCUCUAAGGUUAUUCUUUGAUAUUUCUCUAACCUGUACCCUUUCCAAGCCUACUCUCUGUAACCAAUAAAGG